UCCUUUCUCAUUCCGUUUUUUUCCCUGUUAUUCACUGUCAAUUCUCAAAAAUACUUGGUUGGUUAAAUCCACAGCCCUGAUUCAAUGCAAAUCUCUACUUCCUUCAUGCCACCUUUGCAGAGUGGCUGAUGGCAACACAGGACCAGCUCACCUCAGUUCAUUCUGAUUGACAUCAAGAUGCAUACUAGCUGUGGACAUGUGUGCCCACCCUCUCUGCCCUCUCCUCUCGCCUACACAAGUGCAGAGGUUUUUCAAGGAAAAAAAAUUGUUGAAGGGAAUCCGCUAUUGGAUCCUCAACAUCCAGUUUGGACAUUUUGCUAAAAUGUUUCUGCCUGAGAAUCCACCUGGAUUGACAUCACUAAGUUCCUUCUCCCGGGAUACAAAAGAAACAAAGAAACACACUCUGUCCUCCCUCUCUAGGCUGGGGGGUGGGGUGGGGCCUCCAGGAUGUGAACAUCUCCAAGGCUAACCCAGAAGGCUGUUCAUGAUUUGUAGAUUUCUUGUCCCUUUCUCUGUCCUAAGUAUAUGUCUAUUAAAGUGAAGCCAACACUAGAAACAGGGUGUUUUGGCCACAUUGACGUGUUUUCAGUUCUGACACUUGUGGAGUGGAGUGACAGAACUGGUGAUCAUCUUUGUUGAAGGAACUGGGCUCCAUCCCCAGACUUGACAAAAACACAGCAUUCUUGGGGGACAGCCCAGGAGAAAUGGAAGAGGAUUGGAGUAAAAUACUCAUUUUGGUGAGAAGAUCUGCAUUAAAUUACUCUCAAAAGCAGAAUAACAGAGACCACACAGUCAGCCCUCUGAAUGUGACAGCUCCACAGCCACAGGUUGAAAAUACAAGAGAAAAAAAAUUACGUCUGUUCUGAACACA